rnacentral:rRNA from 1 species
GGGGAAUAUUGCGCAAUGGGCGAAAGCCUGACGCAGCGACGCCGCGUGAGGGAUGAAGGCCUUCGGGUCGUAAACCUCUGUCAGGAGGGAAGAACCGCCAUGGUGCUAAUCAGCCAUGGUCUGACGGUACCUCCAAAGGAAGCACCGGCUAACUCCGUGCCAGCAGCCGCGGUAAUACGGAGGGUGCAAGCGUUAAUCGGAAUCACUGGGCGUAAAGCGCACGUAGGCGGCCUUGCAAGUCAGAUGUGAAAUCCAACGGCUUAACCGUUGAACUGCAUUUGAAACUGCAAGGCUAGAGUAUGGGAGAGGUAGGUGGAAUUCUCGGUGUAGGGGUAAAAUCCGUAGAGAUCGAGAGGAAUACUCAUUGCGAAGGCGACCUGCUGGAACAUUACUGACGCUGAGGUGCGAAAGCGUGGGGAGCAAACA